rnacentral:rRNA from 1 species
UACAGAGGUCCCAAGCGUUGUUCGGAUUCACUGGGCGUAAGGGUGCGCAGGUGGGUUGGCAAGUUUGAUGUGAAAGCCCGGGCUUAACCCGGGACGGCAUUGAAUACUGCUGGUCUGGAGGGUUGGAGGGGGGACGUGGAAGUUCCUGGGUGAGCGGUGAAAUGCGCAGAGUAUCAGGAGGAACACCGGUGGCGAAGGCGGGUCUCUGGGCCGAUACUGACGCUGGAGGAGCGAAAGCGUGGGGAGCGAACAGG